UCUAGACUCGCUCAGAGAGUAAAGGAUCUGCCUGCAGUGCAGGAGACCCGGGUUCGAUCCCUGGGUCGGGAA
rnacentral:tRNA from 1 species